AUUGAACGCUGGCGGCAGGCCUAACACAUGCAAGUCGAACGGUAACAGGAAGAAGCUUGCUUCUUUGCUGACGAGUGGCGGACGGGUGAGAAAUGUCUGGGAAACUGCCUGAUGGAGGGGGAUAACUACUGGAAACGGUAGCUAAUACCGCAUAACGUCGCAAGACCAAAGAGGGGGACCUUCGGGCCUCUUGCCAUCGGAUGUGCCCAGAUGGGAUUAGCUAGUAGGUGGGGUAACGGCUCACCUAGGCGACGAUCCCUAGCUGGUCUGAGAGGAUGACCAGCCACACUGGAACUGAGACACGGUCCAGACUCCUACGGGAGGCAGCAGUGGGGAAUAUUGCACAAUGGGCGAAAGCCUGAUGCAGCCAUGCCGCGUGUAUGAAGAAGGCCUUCGGGUUGUAAAGUACUUUCAGCGGGGAGGAAGGGAGUAAAGUUAAUACCUUUACUCAUUGACGUUACCCGCAGAAGAAGCACCGGCUAACUCCGUG
rnacentral:rRNA from 1 species